UAGCCAGCACUUUUGUUUAUUUUAUUAUUAAUACUGUUGUCACUAUUUUUGGCUAUUUACUUGGUAUAUUUGAAUUAUGGUGAAGGGGCAUGGACUCUCCAGCUCCCCAUGAUCCACCCGCUCUGUGUUUUCUCAGACUGAGGGCUUCACGCAGGAGGAAAUGCACCGAUGUGCGCGAGCUGCGUUGAAACGCAUCAAAAAUAAGAUUGAGUGAUGAAGGGGUGAAGAAAUAGAUGGCCAAUGUCAUCCAUAAAGUGGCAGUGAACCAUUCAUUAUAGAAUCUAGGUGGAAAACAGUGACAUUGUGAAUGAAAGCCCAGGAUGGCAAGAGCAGAUUCUUGAAAAUGAAGAAGCCAUUGCUCUUAGCAGGAAGGACAAAACCAUUCAACAUGUGGAAGUGUUUUGUUAC